CAGCCGCCGCGGUAAAACGAAGGGGGCUAGCGUUGUUCGGAUUUACUGGGCGUAAAGCGCACGUAGGCGGAUCGAUCAGUCAGGGGUGAAAUCCCAGAGCUCAACUCUGGAACUGCCUUUGAUACUGUCGAUCUGGAGUAUGGAAGAGGUGAGUGGAAUACCGAGUGUAGAGGUGAAAUUCGUAGAUAUUCGGAGGAACACCAGUGGCGAAGGCGGCUCACUGGUCCAUUACUGACGCUGAGGUGCGAAAGCGUGGGGAGCAAACAGGAUUAGAUACCCGCGUAGUCCCUGUCUCUUAUAC
rnacentral:rRNA from 1 species